rnacentral:lncRNA from 1 species
GCCAAAGACUUCAGUUGGAGAAAGGGAAGACAAGGGUUUAACUGGCAAUUCAAAGGGAGGUGAUCAGCCUCUGUUACAGAGUUAACUCUGUGUGAAAGUUUUUCUCUACUGAAGUCAGCAGGAACAUCACUUUGGAUUACAUGAUGCUAAAAAGAAAAGCAACUGGAGCUGCUGAUAAGACACCUACUCAGAGUAAUGAUGCAUAAUAUGAAAAUGCAAUAAUCCAGACCUCAUAAGUGUGGACGA